UACGUAGGUGGCGAGCGUUGUCCGGAUUUACUGGGCGUAAAGCGCGCGCAGGCGGACUGAUCAGUCUGGGGUGAAAUCUCACGGCUCAACUGUGAGCGGUCCCUGGAUACUGUCAGCCUUGAGAUGUCUAGAGGAGAGCGGAAUUCCCGGUGUAGUGGUGGAAUGCGUAGAUAUCGGGAAGAACACCAGUGGCGAAAGCGGCUCUCUGGGGAUCAUCUGACGCUGAGGCGCGAAAGCGUGGGGAGCGAACCGG
rnacentral:rRNA from 1 species